AUGCUCACCUUGGCAGCACAUAUACUAAAAUGGGAGCAAUACAGAGUAGAUUAACAUGCCCCCUGAACAAGGAUGACACACAAAUUUGUGAGGCAUUCCAUAGUUUU